rnacentral:rRNA from 1 species
AUCACUGGUGUUCGGGUUGUCAUGCCAAUGGCACUGCCCGGUAGCUAAAUGCGGAAGAGAUAAGUGCUGAAAGCAUCUAAGCACGAAACUUGCCUCGAGAUGAGUUCUCCCUGACCCUUUAAGGGUCCUGAAGGAACGUUGAAGACGACGACGUUGAUAGGCCGGGUGUGUAAGCGCAGCGAUGCGUUGAGCUAACCGGUACUAAUGAACCGUGAGGCUUAACCUUACAACGCCGAAG